GGGGGUUGGCUUUUGAUUCUGAUUUUCAUUUUUUCUGAUUUCAUCUUAGUUCAUCUAUAUUAAAGAAAAGAUUUCAAUUGAUUUUAGCUUCAGUUUUGAUUUCAAACUCGAAAUAUAUAUAAUGAAAAUUCUAGCUGUUCUUUUGGUCUUGGCUUCCGAAAUGGAGUGGAGUUGAAACGGGUGUUCGAUCCUAGAAGUUGCCGUCCGAGAGGCAAGGCAGUCCGGUCAGAGAUUCGAUGAGGUUUCCGGCGAGGUUUUCCAAUUUAGAUCUUGUUCGCGGCCCUAUUCAUUCCUUUGCUUAGCAUUUUCAAACCGUGAAAUAAUCAAUUUUCAGUAUUGAGGGUUUGGUCAUAAAGGUGACAAUUAGUCAAAACCAGCUCAAAACGGAGUAAAACAUGCACAAGAACCAAGAACAAGUCAAAGCACAGCUGCAACAGGCCCACUGUGGCCGCAAGCCAUUUAGUGCAGUCUGCAGUGAGGAGAUUCAGAGAGGUGCACUUUUGGAGCCUAAGGCAGUGCGGACCGCGAAGGAUUUAGUGCGGUCGUAGUGGCCUCUUUGUGGUCGUGACCCAUUUUGUGCGGUUCGCAAAGAUGGGGUUCAGAGAGUUGGAAAUUUGGAGAUAAAGGCCAAUGCGGUCAGCGGUCCUUUUUGUGCAGACCACAGUUGAAGCCAUUGCGGUCGCGGUGCAUUUUAUGCGGCCUGCGGUGGCUAGAUUCAGAGAACGAUUAUUCAAGCCCAGAAGCCUCACUGCGGUCCGCGGUGCAUUUUGUGCGGACCGCACUACCCCUAGGGGUAUUUUUGUCCAGAAAAUUUGGCCUAGUAUAAAUACUUUCUUUUCCUAUUUUUAGGUCAUCUUUUGUAAUCUAACUUUGAGCUGGGCUCAUGAACAGAGGUUUUUGACUAUUUUGAGCAAUUUGUAGCUACUUUAACACUGAAGUUUCUUUAUCUUAGUUUGUAAUUAAAUCUUAUGGGUUAUUGUU